rnacentral:miRNA from 1 species
CGUGAACUCAUUCAGUGUGGCAUG